rnacentral:rRNA from 1 species
CCCUAGUAACGGCGAGUGAAGAGGGAAGAGCCCAAGAUUGAAAGCUGGCGCCUUCGGCGUCCGCAUUGUAAUCUCAAGAAGUGUUUUCCGCUUCGGACCAUGCCUAAGUCCCUUGGAAAAGGGCAUCAUAGAGGGUGAUAAUCCCGUACAUGGCAUGGAGCGCCCGUAGCUUUGUGAUACGCUUUCUAAGAGUCGAGUUGUUUGGGAAUGCAGCUCAAAAUGGGUGGUAAAUGCCAUCUAAGGCUAAAUAUUGGGGAGAGACCGAUAGCGAACAAGUACAGUGAUGGAAAGAUGAAAAGAACUUUGAAAAGAGAGUUAAACAGUACGUGAAAUUGCCAAAAGGGAAGGGUAGGAGGUCAGAGAUGCGUCUUAGGAUUCAGGCCUUGCUUUUGCAUGGUGUUUUUCCUAAGCUGCAGGCCAACGUCGGUUUUGGGCACUGGAGAAGGGUGGAAGGAACGUGGCACCUCUCGGGGUGUGUUAUAGCCUUCUACUGGAUACAGCGACCGAGACCGAGGAACGCAGCGUACUCGUAAGAGCGGGCCUUUUGGCACCUUUACGCUUAGGGCGUUGGCAUAAUGACCCUCUA